rnacentral:antisense_RNA from 1 species
CAAAGCCGCAGAUCGCUCCACCGCUGUGCGCAGCCCCCUGCUGAGGGGCCAGCGGCUCUCCCUGGGACCCCAGAACCUUAACACAAUUCUGAGGUGGAAGAAAUGGGGAACACCAGGCCUGGCCUCAUGGAGACCGGGGAGUCAGAACCUGAGCUCUGGCUCCUGGAGCUGCUGUGAGUGAGUGGUGGAAACCUGCCCCCUUAGAGAAGCUGCAGCUGAUCAGCAUCAUGCAAGGGACUGCUGAGAUGGUAGCAUGCUGGUAAUGAAGUGUUAUGGAGCCACUCCAUCCUUUAUUCAUCCUUUUCCUCAUACACACAGAGAGCAAAGCACAGGAACCAGCUACAGAAUUUGCAAGUGGAGAAUCCAGGUACCUUUAAAAGUCUAUUCAGUGAAAAUCUCUGGCUAUUGAUGUGACGGUUAAUUUUAUGUGCCAACUUGGCUAGGCCAUGGUACCCAGUUUUUCAUAAAAGAUCAGUCUAGAUGUUGUGAAGGUAUAUUUUUAAAUGUGAUUAACAUUUUAUUCAGUGGACUUCAAGUAAAGCAGAUUAUCC